AACAGGAUUAGAUACCCUGGUAGUCCACGCCGUAAACGAUGCUAACUCGUUUUUGGAGCGCAAGCUUCAGAGACUAAGCGAAAGUGAUAAGUUAGCCACCUGGGGAGUACGAACGCAAGUUUGAAACUCAAAGGAAUUGACGGGGGCCCGCACAAGCGGUGGAUUAUGUGGUUUAAUUCGAUGAUACGCGAGGAACCUUACCAAGGCUUAAAUGGGAAAUGACAGGCUUAGAAAUAGGCUUUUCUUCGGACAUUUUUCAAGGUGCUGCAUGGUUGUCGUCAGCUCGUGCCGUGAGGUGUUAGGUUAAGUCCUGCAACGAGCGCAACCCCUGUCACUAGUUGCCAUCAUUAAGUUGGGGACUCUAGUGAGACUGCCUACGCAAGUAGAGAGGAAGGUGGGGAUGACGUCAAAUCAUCACGGCCCUUACGCCUUGGGCCACACACGUAAUACAAUGGCCGGUACAGAGGGCAGCUACACAGCGAUGUGAUGCAAAUCUCGAAAGCCGGUCUCAGUUCGGAUUGGAGUCUGCAACUCGACUCUAUGAAGCUGGAAUCGCUAGUAAUCGCGCAUCAGCCAUGGCGCGGUGAAUACGUUCCCGGGCCUUGUACACACCGCCCGUCAAGCCAUGGAAGUCUGGGGUACCUGAAGUCGGUGACCGUAACAGGAGCUGCCUAGGGUAAAACAGGUAACUAGGGCUAAGUCGUAACAAGGUAUCCGUA
rnacentral:rRNA from 1 species